UGCAGUCGAGCGGAUGAGAGGAGCUUGCUCCUGGAUUCAGCGGCGGACGGGUGAGUAAUGCCUAGGAAUCUGCCUGGUAGUGGGGGACAACGUUUCGAAAGGAACGCUAAUACCGCAUACGUCCUACGGGAGAAAGCAGGGGACCUUCGGGCCUUGCGCUAUCAGAUGAGCCUAGGUCGGAUUAGCUAGUUGGUGAGGUAAUGGCUCACCAAGGCGACGAUCCGUAACUGGUCUGAGAGGAUGAUCAGUCACACUGGAACUGAGACACGGUCCAGACUCCUACGGGAGGCAGCAGUGGGGAAUAUUGGACAAUGGGCGAAAGCCUGAUCCAGCCAUGCCGCGUGUGUGAAGAAGGUCUUCGGAUUGUAAAGCACUUUAAGUUGGGAGGAAGGGUUGUAGAUUAAUACUCUGCAAUUUUGACGUUACCGACAGAAUAAGCACCGGCUAACUCUGUGCCAGCAGCCGCGGUAAUACAGAGGGUGCAAGCGUUAAUCGGAAUUACUGGGCGUAAAGCGCGCGUA
rnacentral:rRNA from 1 species